UACGUAGGGUGCGAGCGUUGUCCGGAAUUAUUGGGCGUAAAGGGCUCGUAGGCGGUCUGUCACGUCGAAAGUGAAAACUCAGGGCUUAACCCUGAGCCUGCUUCCGAUACGGGCAGACUAGAGGUAUGCAGGGGAGAACGGAAUUCCUGGUGUAGCGGUGAAAUGCGCAGAUAUCAGGAGGAACACCGGUGGCGAAGGCGGUUCUCUGGGCAUUACCUGACGCUGAGGAGCGAAAGUGUGGGGG
rnacentral:rRNA from 1 species